rnacentral:rRNA from 1 species
GCCUAACACCUGCAAGUCCAGCGAAGCAUAUAACAUGAAGUUUUCGGACGGAAUGUUAUCUGACUGAGCGGCGGACGGGUGAGUAACGCGUGGGUAACCUGCCUUAUACAGGGGGAUAACAGUUAGAAAUGACUGCUAAUACCGCAUAAGCGCACCGUACCGCAUGGUAGUGUGUGAAAAACUCCGGGUGGUAUAAGAUGGACCCCCCGUCUGAUUAGCCCGUUUGGCGGGGUAUCGGCCCACCAAAGCGACGAUCAGUAGCCGACUUGAGAGGGUGACCGGCCACUUUGGGAUUGAGACACGGCCCAAACUCCUACGGGAGGCAGCAGUGGGGAAUAUUGCACAAUGGGGGAAACCCUG